rnacentral:rRNA from 1 species
GACGAACGCUGGCGGCGUGCUUAACACAUGCAAGUCGGACGAAGUGGCGAACGGGUGAGUCACGCGUAAUCAACCUGCCCUUCAGAGGGGAACAACAGUUGGCAACGACUGCUAAUACCGCAUACUGAAGAAGGGGAUUGCGUCUGAUGAGUUAGUUGGAGGGGUAACGGCCCACCAAGUCGAUGAUCAGUAGCCGGUCUGAGAGGAUGAACGGCCACAAUUGGACUGAGAAACGCCCCAGACUUCUACGGGAGGGUGAAGUGGGUAAACUACCCAAAGGGACGGAAGUCGGACCGAGCAACGCCGCGUGAGUGAUGACGGGCUUAGGGUUGGAAAGCUCUGUUAACAGGGACGCGGUACCGGAAUAGAAAGCCACGGCAAACUACGUGCCAGCCGCCGCGGUAAUAC